GCCUGAUUAGCACAGGGGUAAUGCGUUGCACUUGUAUCAAACCUGCAAAGGUUCUUGACGACAUGCAAAGAUCACUGGUUCGAUUCCAGUAUUAGGCA